AGAGUUUGAUCCUGGCUCAGGAUGAACGCUAGCUACAGGCUUAACACAUGCAAGUCGAGGGGAAACGACAUCGAAAGCUUGCUUUUGAUGGUCGUCGACCGGCGCACGGGUGAGUAACGCGUAUCCAACCUGCCCAUCACUUGGGGAUAACCUUGCGAAAGUAAGACUAAUACCCAAUGAUAUCUCUAGAAGACAUCUGAAAGAGAUUAAAGAUUUAUCGGUGAUGGAUGGGGAUGCGUCUGAUUAGCUUGUUGGCGGGGUAACGGCCCACCAAGGCAACGAUCAGUAGCCGGACUGAGAGGUUGACCGGCCACAUUGGGACUGAGAUACGGCCCAGACUCCUACGGGAGGCAGCA
rnacentral:rRNA from 1 species